rnacentral:lncRNA from 1 species
CAGGAAAUUAACAGAUAUUAAUAAGGUACCAUUUUAAGACGACUCAUCAUUAUUUAAAAGAAAUCACAUGGAUGAACUGUAAUGAACCUAAGUGACCAGCCAGUUUUAUUAAUAUUGCCUUUAAAAAAGAGCACUUCUAUUGCUCCACAAAUAAUUGCCUUAAAUUGUUCCUCAGAUCUUUCAGUGAUUUUUCAUGAGCUUGUGUUGGAUUUGUUACUGGGCCACUGAGAAGCCAUUUGUAAAGCAGAACUUUGAUUUUCCUUCAGAACUCCUGGUCCUCUUGGCACACUGGAGGGACAGGUGGGAUGGAUCCCUGGCAUCGUGGUGAUGAGAGCACGCCUGUGAUCUGGAUACAGUUUUCUCUAAAAACUCCAAAACUAAAGAACCUUCUCCUGAACAUGGACAUGAUAUGCAGCUCUCCCACCUCCUCCUCCUCACCCCGCAGUGAUUUUUGACUUGCAGAUGUGAACUGUAAUUUGCAGGCUCUAUAACUGUGAUUCUGCCUCACAGACUUAUCACCGAACUGGCGCUUUUUCUAACACUCUUUCACCUCUUUAUUUCUCACAGUCAUGGGAUCACACAAUUGUGAGGGUGGUUUUCAGUAUGUGAUUUAAGGCUUGAAGAGCCAAAAAUCAAAUGGAACAACAACAACAACAACAACAACAAAAAUGGCUGCAGAUGCAAUUUUCCUGGCUUCCGGGAGCAGUGUAAGAAAGUGAAGAUGUUAUAAGCUUUGUGGUUAUUCAAAUGUAACCCAUACACUCAGCAUCUGUGGGAGGUUGGGCCAGGUUUGACGGUUUACUCUCUGGGAGCUGCCCUGAAAAAUGGGCAUUGCGAUGCAUGGUCCAAAGGUUAGUGUUAACUGCAUGAAAAGAAAGCAGCCAGCCUGUGCCUAGAGGUGCUCAAUACAUAGAAUGAGCAUCCUUAAUCUAAAAGUAUGAAAUUUGAGAUGCUUCAAAUUCCAACAGUUUUGAGCAUCAUUUCUGCACUCAAAAAGUUUUUAUUUCAUAAGCCAGAAAGACAAGUUUCACAUGUCUUUGGUAAUAUAUGGAGUCUUAAAAAAAAGGUAGACUAUUAGGCAGGAGGCAAAGAAUAAAAGGGAGGUGGUGGGUGUAAGGAAUGUGAUGGGGGCA